rnacentral:misc_RNA from 1 species
GUUGACCUUACAGCAAUUCA